AGUGAACGCUGGCGGUAGGCCUAACACAUGCAAGUCGAACGGCAGCACAGGAGAGCUUGCUCUCUGGGUGGCGAGUGGCGGACGGGUGAGGAAUACAUCGGAAUCUACUCUGUCGUGGGGGAUAACGUAGGGAAACUUACGCUAAUACCGCAUACGACCUACGGGUGAAAGCAGGGGACCUUCGGGCCUUGCGCGAUUGAAUGAGCCGAUGUCGGAUUAGCUAGUUGGCGGGGUAAAGGCCCACCAAGGCGACGACCCGUAGCUGGUCUGGGAGGAUGAUCAGGCACACUGGAAAUUGGACCAGGGCCAGACUCCUACGGGAGGGAGCAGUGGGGAAUAUUGGACAAUGGGGGGAAGCCUGAUCCAGCCAUACCGCGUGGGUGAAGAAGGCCUUCGGGUUGUAAAGCCCUUUUGUUGGGAAAGAAAUCCAGCUGGCUAAUACCCGGUUGGGAUGACGGUACCCAAAGAAUAAGCACCGGCUAACUUCGUGCCAGCAGCCGCCGUAA
rnacentral:rRNA from 1 species